CUACGGGAGGCACCAGUGGGGAAUAUUGCACAAUGGGCGCAAGCCUGAUGCAGCAACGCCGCGUGAGGGAUGAAGGCCUUCGGGUUGUAAACCUCUUUUAGCAGGGAAGAAGCGAAAGUGACGGUACCUGCAGAAAAAGCACCGGCUAACUACGUGCCAGCAGCCGGGUAAUACGUAGGGUGCAAGCGUUGUCCGGAAUUAUUGGGCGUAAAGAGCUCGUAGGCGGUUUGUCACGUCUGCUGUGAAAAUCCAAGGCUCAACCUUGGACUUGCAGUGGGUACGGGCAGGCUAGAGUGCGGUAGGGGGGAUGGGAAUUCCUGGUGUAGCGGUGGAAUGCGCAGAUAUCAGGAGGAACACCAAUGGCGAAGGCACAUCUCUGGGCCGUAACUGACGCUGAGGAGCAAAAGCGUGGGGAGCGAACAGGAUUAGAUACCCCCGUAGUC
rnacentral:rRNA from 1 species